rnacentral:rRNA from 1 species
AGCAGUGGGGAAUUUUGGACAAUGGGCGAAAGCCUGAUCCAGCAAUGCCGCGUGAAGUGAUGAAGGCCUUAGGGUUGUAAACUUCUUUUUACCCGGGAUGAUAAUGACGUACCGGGAGAAUAAACUCCCGCUAACUCCUUGCCCACCACCCCGGUAAUACCGAAGGAGCUAGCGUUUUUCCGAAUUGCUGGGCGUAAAGCGCACUGUAGGUGGUUUUUCAAUUCCACGUGAAAGUCCCGAGCUCCACUCUGGAAUUGGCUUUGAGACUGCCUCACUUGGAUCACGGAAAGGUCAGAGGAAUUCCCAGUGGAAACGUGAAAUUGCUAUAAGAUCGGAAAAACCCCCGUGGCCAAGGCCGCUGAGUGGGCCUGACUUGGCGCUGAAG